rnacentral:rRNA from 1 species
AGUGAACGCUGGCGGCAGGCCUAACACAUGCAAGUCGAACGGUAGCACAGAGGAGCUUGCUCCUUGGGUGACGAGUGGCGGACGGGUGAGGAAUAUAUCGGAAUCUACCCUUUCGUGGGGGAUAACGUAGGGAAACUUACGCUAAUACCGCAUACGAACUGAGGUUGAAAGCGGCGGACCGCAAGGCGUCGCGCGGAUGGAUGAGCCGAUAUCCGAUUAGCUAGUUGGCGGGGUAAAGGCCCACCAAGGCGACGAUCGGUAGCUGGGCUGCGAGGAGGAUCAGCCACACUGGAACUGAGAAACGGUCCAGACUCCUACGGGAGGCAGCAGUGGGGAAUAUUGGACAAUGGGCGCAAGCCUGAUCCAGCCAUGCCGCGUGUGUGAAGAAGGCCUUCGGGUUGUAAAGCACUUUUGUUGGGAAAGAAAUCCUGUCGGUUAAUACCCGGCGGGGCUGACGGUACCCAAAGAAUAAGCACCGGCUAACUUCGUGCCAGCCGCCGCCGUAA